UGGCUCAGAACGAACGCUGGCGGCGUGCUUAACACAUGCAAGUCGAACGAGAAGUACGUAGCAAUACGUAUUGUAAAGUGGCGCACGGGUGAGUAACACGUGGGUAAUCUGCCCUCGAGUUUGGGAUAACCCCGCGAAAGCGGGGCUAAUACCGAAUAAGACCACGGGGACCAAAGUCCCUGAGGUAAAAGAUGGCCUCUAUUUAUAAGCUAUCACUUGAGGAUGAGCCCGCGGCCCAUUAGCUAGUUGGUAGGGUAACGGCCUACCAAGGCUAUGAUGGGUAGCUGGUCUGAGAGGACGAUCAGCCACACUGGAACUGAGACACGGUCCAGACUCCUACGGGAGGCAGCAGUGGGGAAUAUUGCGCAAUGGGCGAAAGCCUGACGCAGCAACGCCGCGUGGGGGAUGAAGGUUUUCGGAUUGUAAACCCCUUUCGACCGGAACGAAUCUCCUCCUGGUAAAUAAUCAGGAGGAUCGACGGUACCGGGAGAAGAAGCCACGGCUAACUCUGUGCCAGCAGCCGCGGCAAGACAGAGGUGGCAAGCGUUGUUCGGAUUUAUUGGGCGUAAAGCGAACGCAGGUGGUUUGGUAAGUCAGGGGUGAAAGCCCACAGCUUAACUGUGGCACUGCCUUUGAUACUGCCUUUCUUGAGUGCAUGAGGGGGAAGCGGAAUUCCGAGUGUAGAGGUGAAAUUCGUAGAUAUUCGGAGGAACACCGGUGGCGAAGGCGGCUUCCUGGCAUGUAACUGACACUCAUGUUCGAAAGCGUGGGUAGCAAACAGGAUUAGAUACCCUGGUAGUCCACGCCCUAAACGAUGGGCACUAGGUGUGGGAGGUAUCGACCCCUUCCGUGCCGCAGCUAACGCAUUAAGUGCCCCGCCUGGGGAGUACGGCCCGCAAGGUUGAACUC
rnacentral:rRNA from 1 species